rnacentral:misc_RNA from 1 species
CUCCCAGCUGAGCUACGGCCCCUAAAUCAGGAUAAAGCGUUUAAAACGAUCAAAAGAGGGAUUACAAAAUCUAUAUAACUCAAAGCGAUAUGAUUGAACCGAUAGUUUCAUAUAGGCAUUGACGUCUAUGAGCAUUUGGAAUUUAUAUCAACCAAAUGGACGCUGUAAAAAUCACUUUGCAAGGAAUUUUGACUCCUUAGUAUUUAGCAUUUGAACUGUUUUUUUGCCAUUAAUUUGCUUUAACUUUGGAUUACUCACACAAAAGCAAUAAGCCUGCCAAUUUUGAUAAGCUUUUUAGAAGCAAUCUUUUUAGAAGUACUUAUUUUUUAAAAGCACUUAUGAAAGUAAUGGAUAAACUGGUGGGCCUGGGAGGACUUGAACCUCCGACCUCACGCUUAUCAAGCGCGCGCUCUAACCAACUGAGCUACAAGCCCUCCGGGAUAAACCGGAAAACCUUCCCCGGCAUCCUCUUAUAAAACGCUUAAAUUUUAUCAAGGAAAGCGUUUUUCAAAGCCCACGGUGGACUU